UACGGAGGGUGCAAGCGUUAUCCGGAAUUAUUGGGCGUAAAGCGUCCGUAGGUGGUCACUCAAGUCUGCUGUGAAAUACUAGAGCUUAACUCUGGAAAGGCAGUGGAAACUGAGAAACUAGAGUCCGGUAGGGGUAGCGGGAAUUCCCAGUGUAGCGGUGAAAUGCGUAGAUAUUGGGAAGAACAUCGGUGGCGAAAGCGGGCUACUGGGCCGGAACUGACACUCAGGGACGAAAGCUAGGGGAGCGAAAGGG
rnacentral:rRNA from 1 species